rnacentral:rRNA from 1 species
UACGUAGGGUGCAAGCGUUAAUCGGAAUUACUGGGCGUAAAGCGUGCGCAGGCGGUUGUGCAAGACAGAUGUGAAAUCCCCGGGCUCAACCUGGGAACUGCAUUUGUGACUGCACGGCUAGAGUGUGUCAGAGGGGGGUAGAAUUCCACGUGUAGCAGUGAAAUGCGUAGAUAUGUGGAGGAACACCGAUGGCGAAGGCAGCCUUCUGGGCCAACACUGACGCUCAUGCACGAAAGCGUGGGGAGCAAACAGG